UGUGGGUUGUAAACCUCUUUUCUCAGGAAGAAGCUCUGACGGUACCUGAGGAAUAAGCAUCGGCUAACUCGUGCCAGCAGCCGCGGUAAGACGGAGGAUGCAAGCGUUAUCCGGAAUUAUUGGGCGUAAAGCGUCCGUAGGCGGUCGAUUAAGUCUGCUGUCAAAGACUGCAGCUCAACUGUGGAUAGGCAGUGGAAACUGAUUGACUAGAGUACGGUAGGGGUAGAGGGAAUUCCCAGUGUAGCGGUGAAAUGCGUAGAUAUUGGGAAGAACACCAGUGGCGAAGGCGCUCUACUGGGCCGUAACUGACGCUGAGGGACGAAAGCUAGGGGAGCGAAUGGGAUUAG
rnacentral:rRNA from 1 species